UCGAUGUCGGCUUUUCCUAUCCUGGUCCUGCAGCAGGGGCCAAGGGUGAGGCUGCUCGCCUAUUAAAAGGGAACAUGAGCUGGGUUUAGACCGUCGUGAGACAGGUCGGUCUCUGCCUGAUGGAAGCAUGAAUAACUGAGGGGAAGUUGCUCCGAGUACGAGAGGAACAGAGCAGCGUGGCCACUGGUUUACCGGUUGUCUGACAAGGCAGGCCGGGCAGCUAAGCCAUUUAGGCUAAGUGCUGAAAGCAUCUAAGCACGAAUCCUAUCCCGAGACAAGUUAUUCUUUCGUAAGAUGAAGGUCGGCAGUAGAAGACUGCGUUGAUAGGAAGGUGGUGUAGAUCACAAGCUUCGGCGAGUGGUGAGCCAGCCUUUACUAAUAGACCAACACAUCGGUUCA
rnacentral:rRNA from 1 species